rnacentral:lncRNA from 1 species
UGUGUUCGUGCACAACGUGUUCAAUCGGCUGUUCAUCAUCGACGACACGCUCAAGACCGCGCGGCAGCUCAUCGCCAAGUACGAACAGGACCCGAACUCCAUCCCGAGGAUCCGGCACACCCUAUCGGAGACGUCCAAAGACAUCAUCCUCCUCGAGGAGGUUCUCCUGUACCUGCGCGAGUCGCUGGAGCAGGACACCUCCAUAUACGCCGAGCCCACGGAUGAAUCCGGAUACCGCCUGUACCAGGUGCUCAAGGUGAAGACGAUCCUGAACGACCUCCACGUUCGCAUCGAGGACAUGCAGAAGGUGCUGCUGGGCGCCAGGCACGAGGUGAACGGGCUACGG